rnacentral:rRNA from 1 species
GUCGCAGAUACCAGGUGGCUGCAACUGUUUAUUAAAAACACAGCACUGUGCAAAAUCGUAAGAUGACGUAUACGGUGUGACGCCUGCCCGGUGCCGGAAGGUUAAUUGAUGGGGUUAGACUUCGGUCGAAGCUCUUGAUCGAAGCCCCGGUAAACGGCGGCCGUAACUAUAACGGUCCUAAGGUAGCGAAAUUCCUUGUCGGGUAAGUUCCGACCUGCACGAAUGGCGUAAUGAUGGCCACGCUGUCUCCACCCGAGACUCAGUGAAAUUGAAAUCGCUGUGAAGAUGCAGUGUACCCGCGGCUAGACGGAAAGACCCCGUGAACCUUUACUACAGCUUGGCACUGAACAUUGACCCUACAUGUGUAGGAUAGGUGGGAGGCUUUGAAGCACGUACGCCAGUAUGUGUGGAGCCGUCCUUGAAAUACCACCCUUGUAGUGUUGAUGUUCUAACGUCGACCCCUAAUCGGGGUUGCGGACAGUGCCUGGUGGGUAGUUUGACUGGGGCGGUCUCCUCCCAAAGAGUAACGGAGGAGCACGAAGGUGGGCUAAUCACGGUUGGACAUCGUGAGGUUAGUGCAAUGGCAUAAGCCCGCUUGACUGCGAGAAUGACAAUUCGAGCAGGUGCGAAAGCAGGUCAUAGUGAUCCGGUGGUUCUGAAUGGAAGGGCCAUCGCUCAACGGAUAAAAGGUACUCCGGGGAUAACAGGCUGAUACCGCCCAAGAGUUCAUAUCGACGGCGGUGUUUGGCACCUCGAUGUCGGCUCAUCACAUCCUGGGGCUGAAGUCGGUCCCAAGGGUAUGGCUGUUCGCCAUUUAAAGUGGUACGCGAGCUGGGUUUAGAACGUCGUGAGACAGUUCGGUCCCUAUCUGCCGUGGGCGUUGGAAGAUUGAAGGGGGCUGCUCCUAGUACGAGAGGACCGGAGUGGACGAACCUCUGGUGUUCGGGUUGUGUCGCCAGACGCAUUGCCCGGUAGCUAAGUUCGGAAUCGAUAACCGCUGAAAGCAUCUAAGCGGGAAGCGAGCCCUGAGAUGAGUCUUCCCUGAUACUUUAAGUAUCCUAAAGGGUUGUCGGAGACUACGACGUUGAUAGGUCAGGUGUGUAAGUGCUGUGAGGCAUUGAGCUAACUGAUACUAAUUGCCCGUGAGGCUUAACCAUACAACACCCAAGGGGUUU